rnacentral:rRNA from 1 species
UACGUAGGCAGCGAGCGUUGUUCGGAGUUACUGGGCGUAAAGGGUGUGUAGGCGGUCCUCUAAGUUUGGUGUGAAAUCUCCCGGCUCAACCGGGAGGGUGCGCCGAAAACUGGGGGGCUAGAGUGCGGGAUGGGUAAGUGGAAUUCCUGGUGUAGCGGUGAAAUGCGUAGAUAUCAGGAAGAACACCCGUGGCGAAAGCGGCUCUCUGGAACGGUACUGACGCUGAGACGCGAAAGCGUGGGGAGCGAACAGG